CACUCCGUUGGUCCUGAUGCUGUCUGUCUCCUCAUUUGUCAAAUGGGUCCAGGGGAAAGAUUUUUUUUCCUUCCCUCCCCUUUGCUUUUUUAAAAAAAUUAUUUAUUAGUUUUUGUUUAAAAAAAAAACCCUCACCAAAAUUUAAAUUGGGUCUGCUAAAACCCUCUCCGGGUGAGCAGGCGAGCGAGCGCCCCGCGUGCCCGGCAUCAGGCGAGCUGGACAAUUAGCACGAUGGCCCAGCUGGGACCCACAGUGGUAGAUGGUGGUGGCGGUGCUUUUGCCCGAUUCCUUGCCAAAUAAACACAGAAAAGGGAUUUCCCCUCCUCAGGAGGUGGAGUGCUGAGACGUUAGGGGCUGGGGGCAGGAGGGAGCUUGGGGGCUGAGGGAGGGGAGGAGGUUUCUGCGCCCCCCAGCAGAGCACCGAAGCGCCGAUGCACCCCCGGGCGUUUGGGGCGCAGCUUUCGCUCUGUGCCUCGCCUUGGUUGGGCAGGCAGCCCCGAGCACAGUGAACCAGCCCCUGAGCUGUUCAAUGAGAGCAACUGCCCAGGCUGGCGUGGAAAUCAAGCCUGUUGGACUAACGUGCCAGCUCGGGGCGACUGGAAGGGGGCUUCUUCCAGCCCAGAACACCCGCUCCUCUCAAAUUAUAAAUGCACAGGGUAGGGAAGUCCGUGUCUGAUAAGAGAUUACUCCGUCGGCUGCAGGCAACAAAUUACAAUGGUUUAUUUAUUUUUUUAUUCUUGCCUGUCCAGCCCUCCUUGGCCAAAUUAACAUUCUGCUCUUGCAAGCGGGUCUCCCCUCCCCUUUAUUUUAUGAAGUAAUCAUUAUUCAUUAGUAGAUUUCGUUAGUCUUUAUGCAAUAAAAUAGGAUGUGAUCUGCAAAUCAAAAGAAAAUAUUAAGACUCUAACUCGUCCUUGGUCCGCACAGGAAAAAAAAAAAGCACAUCCUUGCAUUCUUGGCAGCAAUAAAAUCGUGAUCAGAAAUAGUAGCCAUAUUUCUUUUAAUAUAGAUCUUGACCCAGUGAUUGGAUUUUCUUUUUUUUGUUUGUUUUCAGACCAAGAGAUCAGCUGUCUAAACAGCAGCUUUUUUGAUCGUUGGGCUUUCUGAAAGAAACCUUGCUUACAGCUUCUCACUGACCAGCAGGACGGAACCGUACCUGAGAGGGGAUGGGGGCUCUCUCACAAAAGAAUAUUUGGGGCAGAACCCUGGAACUGGCCACCAGGGACAUCCCAAAUGUCCCCUCCUCCUCAGGGCUCACCCCGACAUCCUCACCCAAACGAAGGCUCUGAACCCAGCCAUCAGCUCGCAAGGCACAACUCACUUUGCAGGCUCAUCAAAAUGCUUUCUGAAGAAAAGAGAACUAAUUAUCCCACGGCUCUAUUUUUUGUUGUCACUCUGUUUGAAAUAACUAUAAAGUCUUCACUCUGCCUAACACUAGGCCCCAACCCGCUGUUUCUUUCUACUUUUCAUCUUGCAAAACCAGUGCCUCCAACCUCUCUGGGGCUCACACAUCCCAUCAAUUUAUCAGGGACACAGUAGCAUGUUUAACCCUUUAGCCCUAGGCAGAAGUUCAUCCAAGGGAUUGGGAAAGUAGAGGCUGGUAUUCUGUACUGCUUUUAUUGGGGGGUGCUGGCAGUGGUUAGUUUGAAAAAUGUUUGCUGUACGUUGCAUCAGAAGUCACAUUCAUGGGACAAGCUUCUAUUAACAAAUACAAGAAUUCCCUCUUUUCUUCUCUUACUUCCUACCUGCCUUUAUUUAUUUAUUUUUGCAUUCACAAAACUAAAGAGAAAGUCACUCCACAGAACACAGAUGGAAUAAAAGGCCAACCAUUCUAAUCCUCACUCUCCCUUUCCCAUUCUUUACUGUUGCCUCAAGCAAUCUGAUGUACUGACGUGUUUGCACUGCUUUCCUUUUUUUUUUUUUUUCUCUUGCUGGCAUUGGAAAAGCCUGUAAAUACCCCAAGAAGAGGAGAGAAUUUUUUCCUUCAGUUCAUUUUCAUAAGAAACAUGAUAAAUAAUACAUGGCACUUUAAUAAGACUUUAUCUGAAUGGUUUAAUGAAAAACAAAUACAUUAUGUAAAGACCCAAUAAAUGCUCUUGGCUGCGCUGAGGCAAUACAGAUUUUCCAGUCCGUUUUCUCCCCAAAGUUGGAACCCCUCAGUGGUGAUUAGAUCCCCACAGAUCUAUCCUGCAAUAACAGCUCAGCCUUUCCCUUAAACUUCAGUUUUCACAGUCAGACACACUGAAGAUCUGCAAAGUACAACAAUGAGAACGAGACCUAAAUCCACAUCAAAAUUAUUUGGAGUCAGGCUCUGUUCUCUGGAUAACUAAACCUGAACAUCUCUCCACCAGUGCAUGCAAACACAAUCACACACGGGGACAAGACCCCUCCCCAUAAACACUGCAACUAUAUUAAGGAGCCCAGAGGAACACUUUCCCAUUGAUAACAUCAGUGCUCCUUAAUCAGGAAUAGGGCAUCCAAUGACCCCAAAUCAAAUGGUAGCAUCAUAUCCACAACCAUUGCUCACUUGAUGACAACACUUUGCCAGCCUUUUAAACAGCAUCUGGGGAUAGCAAAUUUGAAUUCCAUCUCAACAGAGACUGAGAAAGAGCCAUGUCAAGGCCACUAGCUCUGGCAUGAUUCUCCAACAUCAAUAAAUGGGAGAAGUGGGGAAAGAAAAUACCCUUAUCUCUCCAUAAAAAAAAUUUCUGGGCAUUCAGCGUCACAUGGGUUAAUAUGCAUUCAAGGGCCACCCUGCCUGCAUUUAAGCUACAAGGACGCUUAAUGGAAUGGUUAUACAUACCCCACAGGAAGCUGAAAAAGUGCAGGAAAAUUGGCAAUAAAUAAUGUCAUCUUGAAAUGAAACUUCCUUAGGCAGAAGGCAACUACCCAAGUUUUAAUUUGACUCAUAAAAUAAUAUUGUAACUUUUUUUCUUCCCCCAACUUUGCCGGCAAUUUAAAAGAAGAAUGGAAACCAUUUUUUUCUUUUCUCAUUUUCAUAAUUAUUUAUUAUAACUUCCCAAGGCUGUUAACAUAGCAGACAUUCCACUAAAAAAAAAAAUACCUUCUAUAAGAGUUGCCAUACCUCAGAGCAAGAAAGACUCCAGUUCGACAGAAAGAAGGACUUGAACUUCAAUGUAAUCAUCUAUACUGGGGUUAGCUCAGUGGCAAUGUCAAGGUGUAACUUAGAAAUAUUUUACUUUCACUUCCAAAUUUAAUGUGGGGGACAAUAUAGUCUCCAUCUUCAUUAAAAUGAGCAUGAAAAUAUCUUUAGAAAACUUUAUUAUUUAUCUGUAUCAAAAGCACUUUGAGUCACUGACUUGUUCGAACACCUGAAUCAUAUUUAGUUAGUGCUGAUCUCAUUCCACGCACUGUUCUAGCCCCCAGGUCUGCAUCGGUGGGGCCGGACAAACAAAGGUCCCUGACAUUAGACAGUUUACAUUCUAGUGGGUGGGGGAGGGGUGGCAGAAAGUAAAUAAUACAGAGAAGAAAUAAGUACAGUACAAUAGAUGGUGGUGAGUGCUGUGGGAAGCAUAAUAGGCAAGAUCAAGAUCAGGGAAUUAGGGAAACCAGGGUAAGGCAGACAGCAGUGAAAUCUACCUAAAAAGUGCACUUGCUCUGAAAAAAAUGCAGUUUCAGCUUCAAGAAAGCCCCCCUUGCAUCCUGCUCCUUCCAAUCUUAUUGCCUAAGCCUCAACUUUGUUUAAUACAGAUGGUCUCCGACUUGCGAUGGGGUCACAUCUGGAUAAAUCCAUGGUAAGGUGAAAAUAUCCUAUGUCGAAAACAUACUUUCUACUUAUGAUAUUUUCAACUUACAAAGGGUUUAUCAGGACAUACCCCACUGUAAACUGAGAAGCAUGUCUACAUGAAUUCUGGAGUUCUCUUGGGUCAAUCUACUAGGGGUAGCGGUGAGAAGUUUGGCACUUCUAAUGUAGACAUUAAGCUGGCCUGUUGGCCUCUAGAAUGUCUCAGCCCCGAUGGUCCCUCUGAGCUGUAUUUUGCAGAAGCUCCAUUUCUCAGACACAGUUUCUCUAGGCAAAACACGAUCACUCCACACUAAGUCAGAGGGUCCAGGAUUUUGGCAGCGCUCAAAUGAGAACAGCGCUCCUUUUUCAGAGUAAAGGGCUUUGUCCCAGGCAGAACCAAUUCCAACCAUUCAGCAGCAAUUGCUUUGCAUGUAAUGACAGGAUCGAGAUUAGAGCCUGCUUCUGUGUAAAGGACCCUCAAACUCCUCUAGCUUUCUAGCCUGGGUGUGGGUUGUCAGUGAGUCCAGGACUAAAAAUAAACCAUGUUUGCAAGAGCAGAAAUACAAAUGCAGGCAACACCCAGUUCACAACUAGCUCCCACUACAAAUGCGCUUUUCAAAAUUACAUUGGUACUUUAGAACACUUUAUGGCCAUCUUUUGCCUAAAAGACUGACAUAGUUAACAAAUAAAAUCAAAUAAUUAAAUGAAUAAAAUGCCUACCAAUAAUAUAUAGAUUUCACAUCACUCUGGAGAAAUGGGUAACCUGAAACACAGAUGGUGGGAAUCAAAACUGGUAGUCCUGGAGAUGAUAUUAAUAUUUUGGUGCUCACUAUCAAAAUCUAAAAUAUGCACAUCUUUCAAAGUAACUAUUCUAAUUCUAGAUAUCUGUCCUGCUGAAAUACUUGAGCUAGAUACAUGACACAUAAACCAGGAUAUUCACUCCAGCAUUGCUUGUAAAAGCAAAUAGAGUUGACCCACGUACAAGACAGAUUUGAACUAUACAGAACCACAUAUGCGCAAAUUCUCUGCCACCUGAGAGACCCAGAGACAGCAAGACCAAACCCUUAUCUUCCUCGUCCUCCUCCUUCUCCUCAGCCUACCUCAUGUAAAAUGACGAGGAUGAAGACAUUUAUCAUGAUCCACUUCUACUUAGUCAAUAGUAAAUAUGCCUUCUCUUCCUUAUGAUUUUCUUAAUAUUUUCUUUACCCUAGCUUACUUUAUUGUAGGAAUACAUAUAUAAUGCAUAUAACAUACAAAAUAUGUUUUAAUCCACUGUUGGCUUCAAGUCAAUAGUGGGCUAAUCAUAGUUUUGGGGAAAUCAAAAGUUACACACAAAUUUUGGACUGGGCAUGUUGGCUCACGUCUGUAAUCCCGGCACUUUGGGAGGCCAAGGCGGGUGGAUCACUUAAGGACAGGAGUUCCAGAUGAGACUGGCCAAGAUGGUGAAACCCUGUGUCAACCAAACAUACAAAAAUUAGCCCUCAGGCACAGUGGCACACAUCGGUAGCCCCAGCUACUUGGGAGGCUGAGGCAUGAGAAUCACUUGAACCCAGGAGGCGGAGGUUGUAGUAGGCUGAGAUCAUGCUACUGCACUCCAGCCUGGGCAACACAGUGAGUCUGUCUCAAAAAAAAAAAAAAAAAGAGCUAUACACAAAUUUUCUGCUUUGUGGUGGGUUGAUGCCUGUAACCCCCAUGUUGUUGAAGGGUCAAAUGUAAUAAACAGCAAUAGGGGAUAAAUAAAACAAGGUAUAGCACAUGCAUGCAAUGCACCAGUUAAAAAGAAUGAGGGGCUUCUGUGUGUCUUUCCUUGGAAAAAUCUCUAAGAAAGUUCUGUAAGUAGUUUCAGGAUAUAUAUAAUAAAAUUUCACAUGUGAAAAAUCAAACCAAAACCAACAGCAAAACUCCACAAUUCUUUAAAAAUAUGUGUGUGCAUGCAUAUAAACAUCCACAGAAGUAUGUGCAUAUGCAUGUGCAUAAAAUAGGCAUACAUGCAGUCAUGUGAAAUGCAUACAAAAGGGCCCGGAAAGACAUAAGUCAAUCCAAUAAAUGCUUUUGAAUCUAGGGUAAUAGAGGAGGGGCUAUUGGGGGGAUUUCAAUUUUUACUCUGUACAGAUUUAUGUUGCUUAGAUUUUCACAAUAAGAAUGUGUCUGUGUAUUACUUUUAUAAUAAAAUGAAACAGUUAUAUUAUUAUCAUUGCUACUACAACUACCACUAUGACUGUUGUUAUUAUAAAGACCCCAGGCUACAUGUUCCUAAAGAAUAAUUUUUUCCUAAUGGUGGUAACUUUCCCUGGCUAGUACAUGAAAACCUGCUUAAAGCCACUACUGAGUUGCAAUAUUCUGGAUGAUUAACAUCCACAACAAAAAAGGGAAUGGACUAAGCUACAUAGCACCUUAGUGUCCAUAGAGGAUUUCAGUAACCCAGAAUCUCGUAUCCCUUUACAGCAUAACUUCUUAGGGACAAUGUUUUCUGCUUAUCUCGUCAGAAAUCAAAAUAAAAAUACCCACAUCUUCAUCCUACCCCUUCCUCGAGUGCCAAGGCUGCUGAGAAACGGACUGCCAGGUUGGAAACCUGCAUACGUUUCUGGAGAAGACAAGGGAUGCAACUGAUUUGCAAACCCAGGGGUAUUGCUGGGUACAUACCGAUAAUACUACUUUACCCACAAGCAUGCUGAGACUCAGAAGGCUUAGGUAAGCUGUCUGCUUCUAAAUGUUACAGCGAGUGUUAAUAGUGACUUCCUUGUCUAUUUUCUGUCUAACCUCCACACCCCCGACCUGUACACAGCGGCUUGCACAUGUCCUAUGAGAAUGGUAUUUUCCCCCCUUAAUGUUGCAUCCUCAUCACCUUAGAAUAGCACGUGGCUUACUGUAGUGGAUGCUUGUUAAAUAUUAGUUGAGCGAAUGAGAAAAUUUGAAAAUGAAAAUAUUAGUCCUCUUCCAUUUUCAUGUUUCUGAGAUUCAUUUAAUUUACUAGUUGGUUAAUGCAUUUAUUCAAUCGUCAGCUACCUUUUGAAAAUAGUGUCUGUGCGAAGCAUGGUGCUGGCCUUGGAGAUACAGUGGUCAACUAAGAAAGGACAUGGAGCUUACAUUCCAGAUUAAUGAGAUAUUUUAAGGUCACCUGGUUAAAAAAUUACCUUUUGUAUCUCAGUAUCAGUGUGCGAACCAGCAUCUUCUCAAUAGCAGGCAACAAAUUAAAAUACUGAUAUGAAUUGGAUUAUGAGGCUAAUUGAAAACAAUAUUAGCUAUCCAUACUCCCAAUUUCAAAUAUUGGUGUUCAUCAAAAUAGCCUCAUUUUCUCACUAAUUGCCUUUAUGAUACAUGCUUCAUAUUUGAAGUCAUAAAAUGUAUCUUUUAUCCUGCUCCUUUUAUCUCUCUUAUAGAUGGAAUUUCCUGUAACAUUUAUUUCUAAAAUGGUUUCUACUGGUGUAAAUGUAUGUAUGUAUUUGAGAAAGUGGUUUGCCAUGUAACCCUGGGAAGCACAGAUUAUAGGUUUACUCUCCUAUGAAAGAAAAAUAAUAAGAAUUAAAAGAGCUUAUUCUGGGGCCACAGAGUUUAUCCUAACCUUGUCCUACCUUCUUGAUAAUGAAAUGGAUGAUAAGGACUGGGGAGACAGACCUCCUGGUUCUGAAUCUUUGAACUACAGCAGACUAGCUCAGUGGCUUUUGGCAAGUUAUUUAAAACUUCCUGAGUCUUGAGUCCUUAUUUAUAAAUGACACAAGCAUGAAUAUUUUUAUCUCACAAGACUAAAUUUGAGAGCAUGGGAUAAUACACUAAAUUUCUUAGUGCAACCCCUUAGCACCUAGUAAGUGCGUAAUACAUAUCAGCUUCAAGGAUAAUUGUGAUAAUGAUGAUGGUGGUGGUGGUGAUGCUGAUGGUCAUGAUCACGGUGAUGAUGAUGGUGAUGACUAUGAUUAAAGUGAUUGUAAUAAUGAUGGCAUUGAUCACCAUGAUGAUCACGAUUAUCAUAAUGAUGGUGAUGUGAUUAUGGUGAUGAUGAUGAUGAAGGUGAUUGUCAUAACGAUGAUGAUGAUGUUGAUAAUCAUAAUGGUGGUGACAGUGAUAGUCUUGUUGAUGAUGAUGGUGAUGGUGAUGAUGAUAAUGGUGGCAGUAACGUUGGUAUCAGUAAUGAUAAUCUGGCUAUUGUUGAUUGUAAACACAAAAGUAAGGCAAUGUACAUUGACCUUUGUGGGAAAGACAGCCAGCCCUGUUCUCUUAGGCUAGAAACAAAGGGAGCCACCUCUUUAAUUUUUCUAAGGAGAGCCCACUGUUACUUCAAAUCUUGCUUUCUCCCUCAACUCUAGUGUUUGACUAAGGAAGCAAUUGUAAUACCCAUCAUCAUCCUGACUGCUUUUUCUUCUUUAUAACUGAGCCACAGACAUCUCUAAGGAGGCUCUCUUAUAUAGCAGGCAGGAUCUGGCAUGAGUGUUCUUCUGGGUAACUCUGUGGGAUGUUAAUAAUUUAUGAUCUCUUUAGUGAAAACACUAACCUCCAGGGUGCCCAUACUUCCUCUAAUAUCACUCAGAUUCUCAGCAGGCUGUGACUCUCUUUUCUCCAACCCCUGCCUCUCACCAGACAAAUGAUUCCAAUGUUGUUCCCCUGCAUAGCCAGUGUCCUAUCAAGAUGUACACACAAGUCCAAGAAAUAUUUUAAGAAGUAACAACAAAGUUUUUGUUUUUUCGUUUUUUUUUUUUUGUUGUUGUUGUUGUUGUUGUUGUUUUUUGAGAUGGAGUAUUGCUCUAUCACACAGGCUGGCGUGCAGUGGUGCCCUCUCAGCUCACUGUAACCUCCAUAUCCUGGGUUCAAGUGAUUCUCCUGCCUCAGCUUCCAAUGUAGCUGGGAUUAUUGGCAUGUGCCAUCAUGCCUGGCUAAUUUUAGUAUUUUUAGUAGAGAUGGCAUUUCAUCAUGUUGGCCAGGCUGGUCUCGAACUCCUGACCUCAAGUGAUCUGCCCAGCUCAGCCUCCCAAAGUACUGCGGUUAUAGGUGUGAGCCACUGCACUGCGGCCAGUAAUAGCAAAGUUAAGAAUUACUUAGCAUUUACUGUGUGGUAGAUACUAUGCCAAGGGUUUUAUAUUUAUUAUCUUAUUUCAUCUUCCUAGAAAUCUGAUAAACGAGGUGAUAUGACUCCUCCCAUUUCACAGGUGAGUAAGCUGAGGGUGACGGAAGAUAAAUAACUUAUUUAAAUGUAUACCCUGAGGCCCUAACUCAGGUGAGUGUGAUUUUCUCACCUUGGAUCUUCUACUUUAUUGCAUGAUGCAUUCCUUAAAUGGUUUUCCAAGUAGAAUGUCUGAAAGUUGAACAAUUGCUGUGAGAGUUCUCUGAGAGUGCGUUCUUUCUCCAGAAAUUAAAUUGAAUUACAGGAUCCCAAACUACAGUUCAGGUAGAUGCCGCCUCCCCAGGGCGCUUGUGGGUAUCUUAAACCACCCUAGGAUUUCCCUGUUAUAUGGAAACCAGGGUGAAGGUAGAAAAAUCUCAGGCCUUGAUCCAACAUCUAAAGGAGACCAUGUUACUGUUCUGCUCCUUCCCUUCCACAGAACAUGAGGAAAACAGAUCUCAGCCUGCAAAUACACAUCAGAUUGGUUUGGAUUUUUUGUUCAACAGCCAGUCACACAUCACUCAUUUCAUUUGGGCUACAUCCUCACAAACUAUGUGUAUUUUGAAAAUACACAUAGGGAAAAACACUUUAAGAAGCAGAAAAAUGUACACAAAAUGUGGGGGGGAAGGUAAUAUGCAAAUCCAUACUUUUUGGGUAAUACCCCAUAUAUGUAAAAUCUAUCAUAAACUAAUUUGUGUUAUCCAGUUCUAAACUUAUCUCUUUCUAAAUUUAAACCUAUAGAUCUACAUAGAUAUUUUCAAAGCUUUGAGGAAACACCCAAAUGGGGUGUUGAGAGGUGACUUUUAUCAUUUUUUAAAAUUGUCAAUCAAUCCAAGUUUUUAAUAAUGAACGUAAAGUACUUUCGUUAUAAGGAAAAAUAAAGGUUUUAUCUUCUUCCAUUUAAGUAGCCCAAGUCACAGACUGAAAACACUUCUUGCCUAUUACACCCCAGGUCAGAGCAUCACCAUGGCCUGUGGGGAAUAAGGGCUUGGUCCACCAAGGAUCAGCUUGCACCUACUCGCUGUCCUGGCCCUUUAGAGCUAGUUUGAUGGUGAUUCUAGAAAGAGAAAGAGAGCACCCUGGCAUAGCUCCUGCACACUGCUGCUCUCCAUGGAAUCCUAAUUAUAGUCACCAAAGAAGUUUCUUUCUUGUCUCUCCAGGUCCUGUGUGACAGCUCAUCAUUCUGGUGGCAUCUUCGUCGGGAAAACCUCAUUUCUAUUUUUAUUAUGAGGACUGCUUGUCUUUACUAGCUCUUUGUACAUAGAUCAAGACAUUAUGAAGACCUGCACUUUCCUCGGGCAUAUGAGAAUCACUAAUUUUCUCUCUCUAUUAAGUACUGUGCUAACUCCACUGGCUUCACCAAUAUUUAUGUCACACUCUGGGACCAUGAUGAUCCUGGAACAAAGUUAACCUCUUUUGUGCCACACAUCCUCACACUCCCACAGCUUCUAUCAUGCAUUGCCUGCGCUCAUGUUCAAUGAGGAAAGUGGUUAUGUAGCUUCACCCCGACCUAUUUAAGCAGUACCUUCUUUAAAGUAUGAAGCCCAGGGCCAGGCAUGGUGACACACACCUGUAAUCCCAGCACUUCGGGAGGCUGAGGUGGGUAGAUCAUCUGAGGCCAGGAGUUCAAGACCAGCCUGGCCAACAUGGCUAAACCCGGUCUCUACUAAGAAUACAAAAAGAAAAUUAGCCAGGCAUGGUGGCGGGCACCUGUAGCCCCAGCUACUUGGGAGGCUGAGGUGGGAGAAUGGUGUGUACCCAGGAGGCGGAGCUUGCAGUGAGCCGAGAUCAUGCCACUGCAUUCCAUCCUGGGUGACACAGUGAGACUCUGUCUCAAAAAAAAAAAAAAAAAAAAACCACGAAAAUUAGCCAGGCAUGGUGGUGGGCACCUGAAAUUCCAGCUACACAGGAGCCUGAGGCAGGGAGAAUUGCUUGAACCCGGGAGGGGAGGCUGCAGUGAGCUGAGAUGGCAUCACUGCACUUCAGCCUAGGUGACAGAGCAAGACUCCAUCUCAAAAAAAGUAAAUAAGAAGGUAUGAAAGUAUGAAACCCAAAUUCCCACUCUGACACUUUUGAGUAUUUUCACAAGAUAGGCUUUUAUUUAAAGAAAUAAAGCGGCAAGAAUCUAGACCCUUGGGAUCCUGUGAAGCCACGUGACGUUUGUACGAUGCUGAAGGUGGAAGGAUGUGAAACUUCCUCAUGUCACCCUCAACCAAAAUCAUAUCUUACAAUGGCGAUUGUGCUACAAGGGUUUACCUAUUAGAGCUUACUCCAUGCUAGACAUUCUGAACAUGAUUUACAUACAUUAUUUCAUUUAAUCCCUAUGCCAGCAUUGGUAUUCAUGCAUUCACUCAUUCAUUCCUUAUUUAAAUCAUCUAUAAAUAUUUAUAGAGUGGUAAAUUAUGUUCUAAGAAUUGUACAGUGUUCCCAGUAUGCUGAUUAAAGAUACAAACAAGCAGACAAACAAACAAAACUCAGUCUACUUACCCGGCUGGAACUUAAAGUCUAUUGGCAGAGACACAGUUAAAAAUCAAUCAGUUUCUUAUAAAACUCAUGUCCUAACAUGUUCUUUCUUGAGCCCGUAUCUCAGAGAAAUGAAAACUUGUGUUCACACAAAAAUCUGCACUUGAAGAUUUGUAAUAGUUUUAUUUAUAAGAACUAAAUCCAGGGAUUAGUCCAGAUAUCCAUCAACAGAUGAACAGUUAAACAAACUGUGGUACAUCCAUACCAUGGAAUACUACACAGCAACGAAAAGGAAUAAGUUGUUUAUACACACAGCAGUUUCAAUGAGUCUCCAGGGAAUUAUGUUGAUCAAAAAAUAUCAACGCCUAAAAGUCAGGUACUACCUGGGUCCAUUUCUUGAAAUGUCCAAGCUUUUAAAUGGAGAGAAGAUUAGUGUUUGCCAGAAAUUAGGAAGUGGGAGUGGGAGGGGGGGUAGUUGUAAAAAGAAAAACAGAAGGCAUCCAGUGGUGAUGGAAAUGUUUGUUAUCCUGACUGUGGUGUUGGAUGCCCAAACCUACAUGUGCCGUAAAAUUGUAUAAAACCAAAUACAACUACCACCGCUGCACACACACACACACACAUACACACACACAAUUAAUGCAAGUAAAACUGGGGAAAUUUGAAUAAAAUCAGUGGGUUAUACCAACAUCAAUAUCCUAGAUGUGAUCACUGUACCUUAAUUUUGCCAAAUGUUACCAUUGGGGAAAACUGUGUAAAGGGAACAUUGGAACUCUCUGUAUUAUUCCUUACAGCUGCAUGUGAAUCUGCAAUUAUCUCAAUAAAAAUUCCAAUUAAAAAUCAAAUUACACAGUUAAUUUUCUGAGGCCCACUGUGGUAAAUGCUAUAAAGGAAAAGAACAGGUUGCUAAAAUAAAAAAAAAAAAAAGUAAGGAAUCUAUAGAUAGCAAAGGGCUGGAUUGAGACUGAGGGUGAGGGAAGGCUUUUCUGAAGAGGCGGCAUUUCAUUGGGCAAUGGAGGGACGAGGCGUUGGCGAGGAGAAAGGUGGGUGGGAAAAUGUUCCAGAAAAGGAAACAGUGUGUGGCAGGGAUGUAAGAAAGGGUGUGCAAGCUCAGGCAAUAGAGAAGGAACAUCCAGUACAAGAAGGCAGUGGCCAAAAGAUGAGGGGCCAUCUUAAAGCUCUAACACCCAGGCAGUGACCACCCUGAACUUGUGCAGAGUUAUUAUUUUGCCAUUAAUUCUGCUGCAAUCCAGUAAGGCACAGAUAAACCGUGAGGUCGCACAGCUAGGAAGUAUCAGAUCCAGGCUUAAACACCCAAACUACUACUCUGUCCUCUGCCUCUCUUAAAAAACAUCUUUAUGAAGUUAAAAAGGGUCAGGAAUGGUGGCUCAUGCCUGUCAUCCUAGCACUGUGGGAGGCUGAGGUGGGAGGACUGCUUGAGCCCAGAUCGAGAUCAAUCUGGACAAUAUAGCAGGACCUCAUCUCCACAAGAAGUUAAAAAAUUAACCGGGCGUGGUGGUGAGUGCCUGUGGUCCCAGCUGCUCAGGAGGCUGAGGUGGGAGGAUUGCUUGUGCCCAAGAUUUCAAGGCUGCAGUGAGCUGUGAUAGUGCCACUGUACUUCAGCCUGGGAUACAGAGCAGGAGUCUAUAUCUUAAAUGAAUGAAUAAAGUUAAACAUAAACAUACUUCUCAAUCCAACAACACCACUCUUAGGAAUUUACCCAGGAGAACUAAGAAUUGUUAUACAGAAUUACCUGUACAUAAAUGCUUACAGCAACUGUUUCAUAAUCAGCAAAAACUGGAAACAACACAACUGCCCUUCAACUAGUGAAUAAACUAUGGUGCAUCCAUACAAUAGAAGGCUACUCAGCAAUAAAACGGAAGAAAGAACUACUGAUACAUGCAACUACCUGGAUGAAUCUCAAAAUCCAUUACACAGAGAUAGGCAGGCCAAAAGGCUACCUACUUCUGAUUCCAUUUGUAGGACAUUCUGGAGACACCAACACUAUAGGGACAGAAAAGAGAUUGGCAAUUCCCAGGAUCUAGAGUUGGGGACUAACUAUAACCAGUCCCUAGGAAAGUUUUUGGAAUGACGAAUAUGCUCCAAAUCAUGUGGAUGCUGGUGGUUGUUACAUCACUGUAUGCACUUAUUGAAACUUGAAGAACUGUGUGCUAAAAUGAGUACAUUUGACCAUGUGUAAAUUAUGCCUCAGUAAACCUGACUUUGAUGCAAUGAUCUGAUGAGAUGAUCUAGAUCAAGACCAGAAGAGAUCCUUUCUCACUUCUGGCAAGCUCUGGGUGACCCUAGGAAGCAACAAUAUGAAAGUCUUAUUUUAGAAGAUGCCAAGUAAGAAAAACUGAGUAAGGAUACAGCUUCUGUGCAGGGUGAGGCUGAGUGGUGUUUACGGAGAGGCGAUCUAGGGGACGGAGAUACAGAAUGUCGAGGGUGUUUCCCUGGCCAACACAGAGGGGAGGUGUUAUGGAAGUGCCAACCAUUUUCCUCCACCCAUACCACUUUCUUAGCAAAUUCAUACACCCUUCCACCACGUAAGAGGUACCAUCAUCUACCUAGUGAGCUCCCCUAAAUCUUUCCAGCUGUGGGAACUCAUGGGGGACACUGAUCCAUGUUGGUUCAAUGAGAUCUUCUCCCUCUCAGGAAUGCUGGAUUGGAGUGUAGAGACUGCGGAGGCAGACUGGGGGACCAGGCAGGAAGGCCAUGAAAAACUGAAAGCUAGACCAAGCACUAGGGGAUGAAUGAACAGAGAGAGACAACCAGAGGGAGGCCCACAAAGUCAAAAUGCUUAAUCCACCACUAUCGAAAACCAUGUGGAGAUUCCUUAAAGACCUAAAAGUAGAACUACCAUUUGAUCUACCCAGAGGAAAAGAAGUCAUUAUACAAAAAAGAUACUUGCACAUGCAUAUUUAUAGCAGCAUAAUUCACAAUUGCAAAAAUGCGGAACCAACCCAAAUGCCCAUCAAUCGAUGAAUGCAUUGAAGAAACUGUGAUACACACACACACACACACACACACACACACACACACACACACGAUGGACUACUCAACCAUAAAAAAGUAAUGAAUUAAUGGCAUUUGCAGCAACCUGGAUGAGAUUGGAGACUAUUAUUCUAAGUGAAGUAACUCAGGAAUGGGAAACCAAACAUUGUAUGUUCUCACUUAUAAGUGGGACCUAAGCUAUGAGAAUGCAAAGGCAUAAGAAUGACACAGUGGACUUUGGGGACUCAGGGAGAAAGGGUAGUGAGAAAGGGUGGGAAGGAGGUGAGGGGUAAAAGCCUACAAAUUGGAUGCAGUGUAUACUGCUUAGGUGAUGGGUGCACCCAAAUGUCACAAAUCACCUGUGAAGAACUUACUCAUGUAAUCAAACACCACGUGUUCCCCCAAAAACCUGUGGAAAUAUUUUUUUUAAAGAAUGAUAAUGGGGAAAAGAAAGCUUAAUCAACCAGAGAACAGACAGCAGAAGCCUCCAGGUAGAGGGUGCAAGAGCAAAAGACAGCAGAAAAUCUGCCUGGUAACUUUUAAUAUCCAUGUAUUUCCCCAUAUUUCAUGCAAUUGAGUUUUGUGAAAUAUUUUUUGAUUCUUAUAACGAGAUAUCUUCAAACAGGGUGAGUUUCUGUUCCUUACAAUUAAAGAAUUCCUAAGACCCUGUGCCUUGCAAUGAGUUGGGGGUGAACAAAUAUCUGUGGCACCCAGGAAUAAAUGAAAUCCCCUUUGCAAACGCCAUUACUUGUUCCUCUGUUAGUCUGAGCAAAUGCCGGAAAGAAAACGUGUUUGGGGCGGUGCGUGGUGGAUUCUGUCCUCCUUUUUAGAAAUCGCUUUAGUAGGCCGGGUGCGGUGGCUCACACCUGUAAUCCCAGCACUUUGGGAGGCUGAGGUGGGUGGAUCACCUGAGCUCAGGAGUUUGAGACCAGCUUGGGCAACAAAGAGAAACCCUGUCUCUACAAAAAAUACAAAAAAAUUGCCAGGUGUGAUGGCAUGUGCCUGUGGUCCCAGCUACUCUGCAGGCUGAGGUGGGAGGAUUGCUGGAGCCCAGGAGGUAGAGGUUGCAGUGAGCUAUAAUUGUGCCACUGACCUCCUGUCCAGCCUGGGUGACAGAGCAAAACCUUUUCUAGGAAAAGAAAAGAAAAAUAAAAGGAAAAGAAAAUAAAAAUAAAAGGAAAAGAAAAGAAAGGGAGGGAGGAAAAGACAGAAAUAAAGAUUAUUUUGGUCUGCAGAGAGGAGGUCAAGGUUAUCUCCUGGAUUCAAACUUAAGCAAACUAUAAAUAACCCACUUUUCCCUCAAUAGACUCUCCCCUGACAGUCACUCAGUUUAUGAUGACUGAUUUGCAUAUUGCUCUCAGUGUCUGGACACUGUCUUCUCAUCUAGACUAGAAACCCCAUGAAGAAAAGAACAUGCUGUGUAUUUUCUCUGUCUUCCAACACCAGAUAUUGUGCCCAGAAAAUGGUAAUAAGAAUAGUAGUUAACACUCACAUAAUGGUCUCUGUGUGUGUGUAUGUGUGCAAUCCUUUUUCACUACAAACUUCGGAGAGAUAUACAGUGUUAGAACUACCUGUGUUUUAUAGAAGAGAGGACUAGGCCAGGCGCAGUGGCUCACACCUGUAAUCCCAGCACUUUGGGAGGCCAAGGCAGGCGGAUCGCCUGAGCUCAGGAGUUCGCGACGAGCCUGGGCAACACGGUGAAACUCCGUCUCUACUAAAAUACAAACAAUUAGCUGGGCGUGGUGGCGGGUGCCUAUAGUCCCAGCUCUGGGGAGGCUGAGGCAGGAGAAUCGCUUGAACCCGGGAGGCGGAGCUUGCAGUGAGCCGAGAUAGCACCACUGCACUCCAGCCUGGGCGACAGAGCAAGACUCUGUCUCCAAAAAACAAACAAACAAACAAACAAACAACAAAGAAGAGAGGGCUAAAAUAUAAAGCAGGCAAGUGUUUUGGCACAAAGUCACCUGGCUCUCACAUAAUAAGGGAAGCAACCCAUCUGCCUCCAAGUGUAUGCUAAACUACCCCCUAAGCAGAAGCUCAUUAAAUACACAUGCAAUUGCACUGGGGGCGGUGGCUCACGCCUGUAGUCCCAACAGUUUGGGAGGCUGGCACAGGCAGAUCACUUAAGGUCAAGAGUUUGAGACCAGCUUGGCCAACACAGUGAAGCCCUAUCUCUACUAAAAAUAUAAAAAUUAGCCAGGUGUGGUGGCACACACCUGUAACCCCAGCUAUUCAGAAGGCUGAGGCAGGAUAAUUGCUUGAACCCAGGAGGCGGAGGUUGCAAUGAGCCAAGAUUGUGUCACUGCACUUCAGCCUGGGUGAAGGGGACUCACUCUGUCUUGGAAGGAAAGAAGGAAGGAAGGAAGGAGGGAGGGAGGGAGUGAGGGAGGCAGGGAGCCAGGGAGGCAGGGAGGCAGGGAGGCAGAGAGGGAGGCAGGGAGGGAGGGAGGGAAGGAAUCACAUGCAAUUGACUCAAGAGGCCCAGAGUAGCUGCCAUUAUGUACUCUUUCUUUAGUGACUAUAAAUAUGGCCAUAGGAUAGUGGUUCUCAAGCAGGGGGUGAUUUUGCACCCCAGGGGAUACUGGACAAUGUUUUGACUCCAAGAGGAAAGGGUGUUACUGCUGUCUUAGUGGGGAGAGGCCAGGGAUUUUGCCAAACAUCCUACAAUGGAUAAAACUCGUGUCAAUGUACUAUCAAUCUGGUCCAAAACGUCAGCAGGGCCCCUCUAGAGAAAUAUGUUCUAGGAUGCCAGGUGACUGCCCCAGCCACUCUGUCCUUACGUGGGGAGGGCUCUCCGAAGGUAGCUGCCCUACUGAGAUGUCACUCAAGCUUGUCCCUGGACUACAGCCAUAGUGGCGUUUAUCACAUGAUGAUCUCCACGUGGACUCCCUGUCACAGAACCUAAUGGCAGAGGCACAUGGGCCUCCCUCUUAUCUACCAACACCUUAUUAUUCUCUUUGGACAAAGGUGAGGUGAUCCUGGGGAUCCCUUAGACAUUGUGCAGAUACUGUGAAUGUCUUUCUUAACCAACAGGUUGGGGAUGACCUACUCUUAAUAGUCUUAGGGUCUGUGGUGGGAGAAGAAGGACUGUAUUCUGGAAGGCAGAACACCCAGAUCUAAGUGAAGCUGGGGAAGUUACCUAAGUCCUCUGAAACACAAGUUUGCUCAUUUGCAAUGAAGACAAGCCUGGAUGGAUGAGGAGAACAGCUGAAUUCAGUCAAGGUGUACAUCAUGUUUUCCUUCGUGUUUGCAAAGAACCAAAACUCUGUGGUCAAUGAAGUCAAACUCGGCCAGGAUUCACAAGCUGGCUCUCUUUCCAUAGCAGGCACAAUCUGUUUUGAAUACAGAUCCAAUCGCAGAGGGAACAAAACACCCUCAGAGCAGUUGAUGUGGCUCUGGCCAUGGAGUCAGCAAAUGCAACAUCUGCCGAUAUGGCCACCUUGGCUGCCAUAUUUUUACCAGGCCCACUGGUUUCUCAAAGGUCAUACCUGAUCAGGACCAUAAUGAGCCAAUGAUCAAUUUCCCUUUCAGUCCUCAUGAGUCCUUGAGGGCUGGCUCUUUAGAGAUAGAAAGCUUGGCCAUUUCUGGAAGUUGCCUUUCCUUGUGGGAUUUCACAUAAGAGAAAGAGGAACUCUAAGCUCUUUCCAGAGAAGCACUCAUUCAGGUCAGGCAACAUCAGGGCGAGCUUACAUCGCACAUUAUGCCUGGUCUGCUAGUUCAGAGAAUGAUGUGACCACAGAUAGCCUGACGCCCCCAGCUCACCUCCAUGCCAGGCCAUCCCUCCUCUCUGUUCACAUAACAUUUUAUUUUGACGUCUAAUGUGGCCCUGGCUAUAAUAUAGUAUUAGCCUGUCACUUUACCCCAAAGCCAGCGAGCACCAAUAGGACAGGGCUGGUUUCCGUGGCCACUGCAACCUGGACGCUGCGCUCAUGCCUGAGUGUGGUGAGGACUCAGUAAAUGCCUGCUGAAUAAAUGAAUAACAGAAAGCCUGGCCUACGCACAGAGAAAUGAAUUCAAGAGCAAAGCCCCAAAGAGACCACCUGGUGAAAAGCAGAAAAUAUCAUUAACUGAAAACAAGACAUUUCUGAGAAAUCCGCGUUUCAGCUUUACCAGAGAGACACUGUACCACUUUGCCCAAGUGACAUGUUAUAAACAGAGAAAAUGCAGCAUUUAUUUCUAUUACACUGAAGCUUCCUCUGUGUAAGUCAGAGAGGGUAGGCACUCAGCAUGGGGUCCCCCAUGGCCAAAGAUCCAUGUUUAAAAAAAAAAAAAAGAAAGAAAGAAAAGUAAAGAAAUAUAUUUAAAAAAACAAAAGAAUCUCCAGAAACCUAUGUCACUUUUAGAAUCAGAUAAAAUAGGACUUUUUAUCCAUCUGUCAUCAGUCUUUAGAUUUUCAAAUCCAGCUCCUAAGAGAAAAAUAAUCAAAUAUUUUUUAAGAAAAAAAAAAAGCCAGAAGAAAGCAAUUGAACAAUCAAAUUUUAACUAUCUUCACUCUCUAGCCCUGGUCAGAAUAAUUCCCUUUCGACAAGAUAAAUUUAGGCUGAGAACAAGACAGCCUUGGCCCAGCUCCAUAACUCAUUGGCAGCUUUAAUCUUCAGAAUGAAUAUCAGUGUACAUUUCAGGUUUUAUUGCAUUUUUUAAACAAAUGGUAUUUUAAGUUCAAAGUGAAUACAUCAUGAGUUGGCAAUUUGUAAUAUGUUUUCACUGAAAAGGAAAUAAAAAUAAAAUUCCUUUAGACUUUUUGUCAUGAAUUGCAGACUUGCAAAAAGACUGGUUAUAGAGAAUGUAGGAUAGGAAAGGAUACAAACAGAAGUCAAUAUGAAAUAAAUGCAUCCCACAGACAGUCAUGAUAAAUUUUACUGAACACUAAAAGGAUGAAUACACUUUCUUAAAAGGAUAUGCUGGCAAUAUUGGACAGAUCUAUAUGAUGUAAAUAAAUAUAUUUAGUCAAUCAUCUAAAUGGUUGGCCUUCAAAAUGUCCAACACCCUCUGGCUUGCGAAUGUCACAUAUACAUAGUAAUCUUUACGUAGAUAUUUUGAUCUUGGGUAAAUUUAAGACUUGACCAUCUAGAGACGCUGACGGAGGUUUGAUCUCUCUUUAAGCAUUAUGGAACACAUGUCUAAUUAGCUGGCAUACUUGCAAUUCAAUCAAGGGGUUUGUGAAUAGGCACACAUUUGCAACUGGGCAGUUCGUUGAAUGUAUAUACCAAGUAUAACCAUAUCAACCAUUUCCAACUUAAAACCAUGUGCAUGGAAUUUACCUUACAAUUUUGGAAACCAAGCAGAGCCAAACACCACUAUGGAUUCAUUAAGCAACCAAUUCAGCUGCGUAUGGAAUCAACUGAAUGAUAGGUUAUGCUAACAUUAUUCUUCAUCCACCACCAAUAAGGAGCUGACAUAGAAUUCUUGCCUCUUUUCACUAAAAUACUAAUGUCUUAGUAUCCUUUUUUUUGCCUGUCAUUUUCUCCUACUAGACUUUCAUACCCUUUUUCUUCUCCAGUUAGUCACUUUCUUCUUUAAUAAGAAUGUCUCUAGAAGAGCUGCAAAGUGUUCUCAAACACUGAGGUGGGAAUUCUUAUGUUAACUAGUACACUAAUUUCAUUUCAACUGAUAUUUCUGUUUUCUAUGUUGGACUAAACUUCCUCAUGCUAUGCUAAAUAAAUAUCUUGACCAUUCUUUGCCUAUAGAAGUCCUUGGCUUUGAUUUUUGGAGGGGUAUCUGCCCUGGUAGACUUCUCUCAAGCUUCUUGGGCCUUUAAGGAACCCUACUACUGAGGCUAAGAAGUAAUGAGCUUUCAGGUUUAAAUACCUGGAUUUUAUGAACAUCUAGAUUAUUAGAACAUCUAGUUUAGGAUCCCAGAUUAUGAACAUCUAGGUUCAAUUACCACUAGCUACACUGACGAUUGGGGCUUCAUCCCAAUUAAAUGGUGUCUUAUUCACUUUGAUUAUUAGAAUAACUUUCUUCUGGUGGCACAGAGAAUAUACAACAUCCCACCCAGAGAUGGGUGGGAGAUGUAGGCAGGCAAUUCAGAAAAGGUUUCCUAAAGAAGGAGAUACCUACAUACAAACCACAUUGGAUCUUCCCUGAGUAACCAUAGAUGCAUUGCAGUAGGAUAUCAUGAUAUUUUGCUUCUGAAAAUCCAUCCUCAUCUUUGUUAAUAACCAACAGAUACCAUUCCUCCAGGAUGAAUAACGUGAAAAAAAAUCAUUAAAUAAAAGUCGGUUAAUUGCAUUUCUUAAGAAAUCCAACUUUUUAAUGUUUCUUCUGAGAAGAGAACAGCAGUAUAGUCAAAGGAUCAAUUAUCUUUCUUAAAAAAAUGCAGAAUACAAUGUUUGCUAUUCUUAAAGGGCUGCAGACAAAUUCCCACUUCUUUCAAUAAGAAUAACUUGAAAAAGAUGCAAAGUUAUACCAUCUACAAUUUGCUGCACACAAGCUGCUUUUGAUUAUAUUGCCUCACAAACUAGAUACUUUGCUGGGACGCAUCAAACUGUUUAUCACUAAACAUCUGACGUUCCACUCAGAUAAUUUACACAUAAUUAGACAGAAGCCCACACUUCUGAGCAGCAGCAUUACCUCCUUUCUAACGGACUAUUCUUAAGAACAUUUUUGGGAGCAUAAUGAGUAUUUUAUGAGGAUUUGUAAUCAGUCUUAACGUAGGUGGGAACAAAGGUGAAUUACUCCUCAACACGAUCAAAUCAUUACAUAACUCAGUGCAGAAUAAUGAUGAACUGAGGUUGGGAGAGGUAACCUGCCCAGGAAUUUGGAGGAGUUAGGAAAUUCUGGUCUCUUCCAGAGGCAUACAAUGAAUUCAGUUAUCCCCUAGGAGGCAGAAAAAUUAAAAAAAAAAAAAGAA